UUCAUGUUUGCAAACUUGAAUCAUACAAAAAUUGCUUGCACAAAACCUUGCUAAUUUGCUCUCAAUUCAUGUUUAACUUCUGCAUUUUUGUGCAACACUUGUAUUGGGAGAACAUCUUGCAAUUUGUAGAGUUAGUAAAUGUAGAAAUAACUAGAGUUCUGAUGCAACUCUUCCUUGGUGGAAGAGUUCUAUUUGAUUUCAACUUCUAGCUUUUUCCCUAUAUUGAAUAGUGUUCUCUUUGAUUCUUAUCAAUUAUGCAACAUUUUCAAUCAGGAGAUAUUAAAUACACCAAGUUAAACUUAUCUCUUUCACUUGUAAUCCACAUGCUCGAAUCUACCCGUUUUGUGCACCUAAUGGAUGGACCUAGUUCAUCCUGAGUUCAUUUGACAGUCUUCAAUACGAACCUUUACUUGUCCCAACAAACUCGUAUCAGAAUGGGUUAUUAGAUUUAUUGAGUUUUUAGGACUCCGGGCACGUGCGCCCGAGGGAAAUUUCGUCAACAUUUCGAGCGAAGUUAUAAAUUUAUCUAAAUUGAAUUGUGGUGAGUAUAAGAGAAUAUAUUUAUGGAUUUUCUCAUUUUUCGGCUAGUUUUAGAGCGUUGUGCAUUGAUCUGAGUCGUCGGAAGGGCUUGGAAGCCGGUUAUAGAACUUCAAAAUGAGGUAAGUAUCCUUUCUAACCUUGUAAGAGGGAAUUAUCCCUAUAGGUGAACUAAUUUUAUAAUGUUCUUCUAAUUAUAGGGUGCUACAUACGCACGAGGUGACGAGAGUCCGUACGUAGCUACUAGCUAUGCCUAUGUACGGGUAGUUUUAGGCUUACAUCAUGCUUUAUUGAUAUUUUUGUUAAUUUAUGUUAUCGUUGUCUUGAGAAGAAACAAGAUUAGGGUUGCAUAAUAAUUGUGUUGAAAGGAGUUUGAAUUGAGGAAUUUAAGAUUUUAAGGGUUUCCAUGAAACUUCGUAUUUUGAAAUAAUUGAGAAAUACUAUAAUGACUUAUGAAACCUAUGUGUAACCGCAUCACAUGUGCACAUCGCGAGCGGGGAAAAUCUCUUUAAAAUCUUCACGUUUAUUAUCCUUAUUUUGAAAUGGAAUCAAUAAAAAGGAUAUCCAUUAAUCAAUAAAUUAUAUUUGACCGCAUCGCACCUAUGGGAUCGAGCAAUUCGCCUCGGCAGGAUUUAUGUACCACACUCUCAAAGGAGCGGGUCGUUCGCCUCGACACUUCAAUAGAUGCUAUAGUUCAUGUUGUUCGACCCUCGACAAUGCACAAUCUACUUUUAUGUUGUAUCGGGCCAUACGCCUCGGUAAUCUUAUAUACAUACAUCAUUUUUAUAGAAUUUGUGCAUAAUAUUUGGCUAGAAUCAGGUGUAUCUUAGGGUUUUUUCAUGAUUUGGUUUAUGACAAACUCUUGAUGAUAUCCACUAUAUCUAUAAUAUGCUCCGGUUAUGGAGGGAACUUGCUAGUUGAGAGAUUGAGAAAAAAAUUGUAAAGAAGAGCAUUGUACUACGUAUUUAAUACAUGUUUAUCUCAUAUAUUUACUAUGUGUUAUACUUAUUCACUUCUUUACUGUAUUUGACAUUACUAGACCACUAGUAAUUGUCGAAGUCAACCUCUUGUCACUACUUCUUCGAGGUUAGAUUGGAAACUUAAUGGGUACGCAUUGCUUUUGUACUCAUACUAUACUUCAUGUGCAUUUUUAUUACACUGGUACAUAUAUGCCUAGUGGCCUCAUUGGGUGCAUCAUCAUGGUGGAUACGGAAACUAAGGUGAGUUGCAACUCUAGAUACGACCCACAACCAGCAGAGUCUCCUUCGGAGUAUUAUAUUUUCCUUUCAGUCCAAUUUGUAUUUCGGAUAGUUACUGUAUUACAUAUUAAAUAUCUAGAAAUUUCUCAUGCACUUGCGACUCCGGGUUCUGUGGUGACUAUGGAGUUUCUCAGUAUUUAAAUUGGUUAAAGACAUCAUUAUUUACUCAGUGAAGUUCAUUAUUUAUUGUGUAAUGUAAGGAAAAGAAACGAUUUCAAAAAUACUGAUAUGCGAAUUUUGAUAUCUUCUUGGUAUUGGCUUGCCUGACAGUGGUGUCCGAUGCCAUCGCGACCUUUAAUGGAUUUUGGGUCGUGACAAUAUGGUAUCAAAGCACUUGGUUCGAUUGCAUCUCAUGAGUCAUGAGCGAGUCUAGUAGAGUCUUGUUGAUCGGUAUGGAGACGUCUGUACUUAUCUUUGAGAGGCUACAGGGCUGUUAGGAGCAAUUCCCUUCUUGAUUUCUCAUCGUGCGAUUUGAUUCCCUUAAGGCAUAUGCCUUCAUUUCCUUCCCAUUCAAUCUUAUGUGACGUGAAGUGAUGGUUCUAAAUCAGGAAUCAAGGAAUUAAAAUGGUACCACAGAUGUGGUGCGUGAUGUUUCCUCCUUCGUAUUUGAGUGGGCAGCGAAGGAUUAGGAAGGGCAUGUGGGAUGUGUAUUUUGGUGACUAAUCUUCUAGAAGGCCAAGUGUGGGAAACAUGAGUCAAGUAUUUGCUUAAAAGGGUGAGUUUGACCAAUGUGGGAGAGUGGCAGAGUAGCCUAUGAGUUUAAUGGCAUGAUAACUAUAUGCCCUGAGGAAACGUUCAGAGAGAUUUGGGAAUUUUAGUGGAUAGUGGUUGGGUCCACGAGCUUAAUUUGAAGUAUUGGAUAUUAUACGAUUGGGGAUUGGAUCCAAUAUAAAUAAGUUGUUUGGCAUGAGGAAGAAUGCAACAUAACCUUGAAGGAAGAUAUUUUCGUGUAUUUAGUUGAUGUCCAUAAGGGAUGAACAUGCUAGUACAAUUGGUGGACGAGCAUAGGCUCAAGGUGGGUUAUCUGUGUCAUAGUGAUUGUACCCCCAUGAAGCGAUGUUGGAGGAUGACGUCAUGUAAUAUCUAUAGGUGGGUUAUCUCCUGUGAGUAGGUCAGUGGUCACGUGGUUGGCAAAGCUUCUGCAAAGGAUUUUAUUGGCUAUCCAGUAAGAGAUUAAAUGUAUGGAUAUGGUUAGUGAUCUAGAUAGUUCAUGAAAGGCCAAACAGAAGGGUAUCGAGUAGUUUGGCAAGUUGGUUGUGCAUGAUCAGGUCGACGAUGAAGAAAUUGAUGGGUUCUAGAGAUAUCUAACAGAUGGCCCCAAGCUAAGUGGGAGAGUCCUACCGCCUACGAUUGGGUUGCAUGGUUAUUUGCUUGUGAGGUUCGUGUUAUCACCGUAUUGGUAUGUUGUUAAAACUAAAGAAAAACAACUUAAGUGAUAAUUUAAGUGGAGGAAUUGAUAAAUGUGUGCUAUAGUUGGCGUUAUUGACUCAUGUUCAGGCUUUGGAAAGAUUCAGGAUUUAUGUUUCGUAUAGAGGUGAUUUACAAGGGAAAUGAUUCAGUCGAGUGCUUCAUUGAGAUGGGUGUUCAUAUGUCAGCGGAGCCUUGGAGUUUAUUAUAUUCGGGACUAAGAGAAAAUGGGUGACUCUCAACAACGGUCUUAGUGAAUUCAAAGGUUAAAAUGUGGUACCCAAGGAUUCAAGCCCGUAGUAUGGUUAAAAACCGAGCUUCUGUAGCAGAUUAUGAUAAAAGCCUCGGAAUGUUCUAUGAUAUUUUCUACUUGCAGUGUAGUAUUGGGAGAAAAAAAAAGAUUUCGGAUUCGUAGAGGAAUUAUGAGAAUGGGUGUAUCAGUUGAAGAUGCGAAUGUAUGUGUAAUGAGGGUAUAAAACGGUUCAUGGGUUUGGAGACAAUGUGGUAAGGUAAAAUGGGGUCACUCAAGAUGAGUGCGGAUUUAGGUUGGUGAUGUAAGGAAUGGAGUUAUUAUUAUCUCUAAGACAAGUUAAGGAUCAAUUAGAAGAAGUUAGAUUGGUUAGUCAUGGUUGAAUUGGCAUAAUGGUUGCUGUGAUCAGUUCCUUUAGCGUGAUUAAGUUAUGCAUGAGAUUUGUGGUGGCACGUGCGAGGUUUGACGGCCGCCGUAAUCGAUUUUAUUUGGAAGUAUUCAAGUAUUAUGGACUUUUAUGUGUAGGCAGAUCCCGGAAGGGUCAUGGUGGUUUAUACCACUACUCGAGGAUUUGAAUGUUCUGCAAUUAUGAGAAUUCACUCGCGUGUUGCUAUGGUUAUCUUGGAAUGAGUUAAUUAAAAAGUUUCUAUGUGAUGAAGUGUUCACCCUAAUAGUGGUUCAGGAGUUAUGAUGAAAUUCUUGUACUAUCGCAUAUUGGCGUGUUAGGUGUACUGAGCAAUAUGAAAUUUUAAAGUGAUGAUCGAGAUUGUCGCUCGAUUAUGAUAAGGAUGUCACAAACUCGAAUAAAGCAAGAAGGGGAUUUGAAUGUUUGGAGUAAAAUGAUAUCGUCUUCAGCGUCCUGAGAUCGGCAUUUUAUGUUAGAGGCUUUAUAUCUUGGUUACGGAUUCUUGAUAUGCUUUACAACAUUAAUGUGACCUCUGGUAUGAAUGUGCAGACUUGUUAUCUAACGCGGAAGGUCGUGGGAGCAUAUCUCACGGGAAGAUUGUAUAAGUGUAACAUGUAGUCACUUGAUUGAUUGAAGAUUUAAAUCAAGUGUGAAGAUUAUGGUAGUAUCACUAAUUUGAGAAUUUAUGCCUAGAGGGUACUCGGUUUAUUGGAUUAUGGACUGUGGAGGUUUGCUCCGGAUAUGAGGUUUGUUCUUGUGAGCAUGGGAAAAAAGGGUUAUAUGGACCCUUGAAAGGUUAUUAGCCUAGUACAAUGUGCAGUCAGAAUCGGCUCAAGGUCGAUGGGUGGAUUUAAAAAUGAAUAUGGGCUCUAUAUCAGUCCAGAUGUGUUCAUUUCAGCAUAGCACUCCUUAUGGAGAAGUAUUCGAACGUUGGAAGUUAUCUCGUCAGGGGCUAUUUCAUGUAAUAUUAUAGUGUGUCAUGUGAUUUGUGAAACGACUUGAUAAUUUUCUUAUGUGUUGAGAUUCCACGUAGCGAUGGUGUUAUGUUGGCAAGAUGGCUCUUGAGAUUCAAAUCAUAUAUCGUACCCAUUUGUGCUUGAGUUUUGUAGCGUAUGGCACUAUUUGUCUCUCCAGGGAUGGUAUUAUGAACUUCGUGUGCUUGUGGACAUUGUUCGAUAUUUUGUAGUAAUGAGCACUCUAGCUCAAUAUGUAUCUCCUUAUAUAGAUUUUAUGUGUGGAUCGAGUGGCACGCCGCCAUAGGUAUGUUGAUGGGAUCGGGUUGCACACCGCAAUAGUGUGAUAUUGAGUAUAACCUUGCAUUCUAUUUUGUGUGUUUUGUCUCCUAUUGUUUUCUGAGGAUGGUUUAUAACACCUUUUCGGUUGUCUAAUUAGUUGUGAAAGUUGAGUAGUCCCUUCCCGAGUUCGUUUUCCUUAUGUAUCACGUUCAUGUCUGUAGCCUAUUAGCACACUGUGGCAUCAUGUGAGACAUUUUGGUCAUGUCUGGGCUGACUUGUUUCCUGAGCAACUCAUACUAGGUGAGACGAGAUUAUUGGAUCUAGGAUCAACGCGAUUGGAUUAUAUGAAGCAUAUUAAAUAGCAAUUACCAUUAUUUGGUUCAGAAUGAGGUAAUGGUUUUUAUCAGGAGUAUAAACUCAAUAAGUUGUUGACUCGGCAGUUGGUUGUGAAUUUCUACACGUCUCUUCCAUCGUAGUAGUAUUGUAAGUGUUGGAACAAGACUUAUAUAUGUAAUGAGGUACAUUGUGAGCAUCAGAUCUGGGAAAUGCUAGUUAUUAUGAUUAGAGAAUGGUAUUAUGGUCCUGUGAAUGAUGCGGAGCGUGGUGAGAAUUCAGCAAAGGUAUGCAUUCAUGUUCUGGUACAUCAUGUAAUGAUUGAUACGAUGUUCAUAUAUUGGAAGCAGGCCUGGCAGAGAAUUUCGGAUGUUGAAACUGGGCUCUAAGGCUCAUAUUCCUAAAUAAAAGAGGAUAUCUUCAGAUUUGAUUGAGCUAAUGUUUUCAACUGAGUUAUUGUAGCCCGGGUAGGUGCACGAGGGGUUAUACAGUAAUUUUGGUCAACUUCACUGUAGUUCUCGGCAUGUUCUAGGACGAAUGUAUGUUUAAGUGGGAGAGAAUGUAAUGAUCCGACCGGUCAUUUUGAGCUCUAGCGCAUCGUUCAGUAGUUUGAGCCCAUGAGUAGAUACACUUCAGGUAUUAUCACUUGCAUGCAUGGUCGAAAUUGAAUUUUGGAAGUUCGGAGUUGAUUCAGAAAGAAAAAUCUUAUUUCAGAAGCUUUAAGUUGGAAGAAUUGACUAAAGUGCAAUUUUUUAGUAACGACCUUAGAAUUGGAAUUUGAAGUUCAAAAAUGUUCGUAUGACACCUAUUGUGGAAGCUAGAAUUUUGGAAGAAUUUCAUAAAUUUGGGUUGAAGUGCAUUUAUAUUUUAUCAAUGUCAGUUUGAGAUUCCAAGUCUGGGGAUAGCUCCGCAUGGUGAUUCUGGUAUUGGGAGCACGUCCAUAAGUCGAUUCGGAUGUCCGUAGGUCAUUUCGGAGUCAUUUGGCGAAAGUUAUUAGUUGAAGAUUUUUGGAAAGUUUGAUCAGGAGUGGACUUUUUGAUAUCGGGGUCGAAUUCUGAUUCUGGAAGUUGGAGUAGGUCCGCAAUGUCGAAUGGGACUUUUCUGCAAAAUUUGAUGUACAUGGAUGUGAUUUGAUAGGUUUUUGCUUCGAAUAUAGAAAUUGGAAUUUCUUAGUUUCAUUAUACUCGAAUUGGCGUUUGAUUUGGGUUUUGGGGGUUGUUUAUAGUGAUUUGAGGCCUCGACUAAGUCUGUGAUAUAUUUUAAGACUUGUUGGUAUGUUUGGAGUUGUCCCGAGUGGCUCAGGUGAGUUUCGGGAUGGUUUCAGACCAUUUCAAGGGUUUUUUAGAUGGUGGAUUUUGGCUACAACAGUUGUAUGCGAUCCCGGGGAAAUGGUCGUGAUCGUGAUGAUUAAAGUCGGAGAAAAUGGCCUGUGCUUCGCGAUCUAGUGGAAGAAGGUCUCUGUUGCAUGGACCCGACUUUGGAAGCUUGUAUCUUGUAAUCUAUAAGGAAUUUGGAUAUGAUCAAAAUGAAAAUUGUAGCCAAGUAGCCAUUUAUGUCUAGUUUUCAGAAUAUUAAACCAUUUGGCAUUUGGAGAUGAGUACAAUAUGUUUUGUAUGGUACACUACAUCCUAUUUGGGAAGAGUUUGGAAAUCACGAAGAAAAAAUUUGUGUUGCAUAGGGAUGAUUUUCAAAGCUAAUAUCUCAUAAUAUAUAAGGAAAAAGGAGAUGAUCUAAGAAUGCAAUUAUUAUUCCUUGGAGUCUAGUUUUCAAAAAGUUAAACCAUUUGCAAUUUGUAGUUUUAUACAAAAGGUUAUAGCCAAUAUAAUAGGGACUGCCUGGAAGAGCUAGUUUGUUCUCUGCGAUCACGAAGCAUUUUACACUAUCACAAAGAGCAAAUUUUGGGCUGAGAAAUUUUGUGCUUUGCGAUCGCGCAACAUUUUCUGUGGUCGCAUAGAAUAAACACCUGGGCAGAAGCUAUAUUUCAAGGUUUCGACCAUUUUUAUCAUAUUCGAAGCUGUGGAGCUCAGAUUGAAGCGAAAUUUUAGGCGAUUUUCACCAUAUGGAUUGGAGUAAGUAUUCUAUAUCCACGAGUAAUUAUACUUCAUCAUUCUAUGGUUAUAUUCAUCAUUUAUUUCGAAUUUAAAUGGAGAAAAUCAAAAAAUUUGCAAAACUUUUCAAGAACGAAAAUUUAAGAUUAGGAGAGCAAGUUGUUAUUAGAAUUUGAUAAAAUUCGUGUGGUUGAACUCAUAUAGAAUGAGUUGUCAGAUUUUUUUAGUUUUUUUUUAGAAUCCAGGAACGUUGGCCCGAGGGCGAUUUUGUCAACUUUUUGAGCGAUCUGGGGAAUUUAUCUAAAUUGAAUUUUUGUGAGUAUUAGAGCAUAUAUUUAUGGAUUUUCCAAUUUAUUGGCUAGUUUUGGAGCGCUGUGCAUCAAUUUGAGACGUUGGAAGGGCUUGGAAGCCGGUUAAGGAACUUUGAAGCGACGUAAGUCUCCUUUCUAACCUUGAGAUGGAAUUAUCCCCAUCGGUGAACAAAAAUAUUAUGCGCUUCUACUUGUGGGGGCUACGUAUGCACGAGUUAAUGAAAGUCCGUACGUAGCUACUUGCUAUGCCUAUGUCCAGGUAGUUUUAGGCUUGCAUCAUGCUUUAUUGAUAUUGUUGUUAAUUUAUGUUACCGUUCUCUUGAGAAGAAACAAGAAUAGGUUUUGUAAUAAUUCCAUUGAAAAAAAUUUGAAUUGAGGAAUUUAAAAUUUUAAGUGUUUCCAUUAAACUUUAUAUUUUCGAAAGAAUUUAGAAAUAUUAUAAUAACUUAAGAAAUCUAUGUGUAAUCGCGUCGCAUGUGCACAUUGCGAGCGGGGAAAAUCUCUUUAAAAGAUUCACGUUGAAUUCUCCAUAUUUUGAAAUGGAAUCAAGAAAAGGGAUUUUGAUUAUCAAAAAGUUAUAUAUGACCGCAUCGCACAUAUGAGUCGUGAGCAGGGUAUUUCCUUCUACUAUUCUUAUGGGAUCGGGUCGUUUUCCUCGGCAGGAUUUAUGUACCACACUCCCAUGGGAGUGUGCCAUUUGCCUCUGCAGCUUAAUAGAUGCAUCUACAGUUCGCAUCGUUCAACCCUCGGCAGUGCGUAAUUUAUUUUUACGUUGGAACGGGCUAUACGACUCGGCAUUACUCGACAUUUCCUAUAUAUACACAUUAGUCUUAUGGACUUCGUGCGUAAUAUUUGUCUAGAAGUCGGUGUAACAUACGGAUUUUCCCUGAUUUUAUUUAUGACAACCUCUUGAUGAUAUCCAUUAUAUCUAUUGUCACACCUCCUUUUUCACUUACACCUCCGCAAGGAUGGGGCGUAAAGGAGUUUUUUCAAUUAAAGGACAAUCGGAACAGGAUUUAUUAUUAUUUAUUCAGACUCGCCACUUGGGAGAUUAAUGGUGUCCCAAGUCACCGAUUGAAUCCCGAAUCAAGGAAAAAGAUGACUCUGUUAACAGUCUGCGAAACAGAAAUCCGAGAAAAGAAUUUAACCCGGGAGAAGGUGUUAGGCAUUCCCGAGUUCCGUAGUUCUAGCACAGUUUCUCAACUGUUAUUUGAUUUUAAUACAUGCUAGCUUAUGUUCCUUUUAUUUAUAUACCGAUUUUGCCAUUAUUUAUUUUGAAAGACUUGCGACGUCGUGAAAGCGUAUUUCUAACCACGUCACGACCAGUGUACACGUGAUCGUCAAAACGUUUCGGCUUCGUCGAGAUUUGGAUUUGGGUCGCAUCAAUGCACACCCGAGUUUAGGAAGAUAAUAUUAUUAAAUGACGAGCCCAAAGCGUCUAACGCGUUAUUAUUUUGCGAGGACCAUGAAAUUUGCUAAAUGGAACGCCUCGAAUUUUAAGUAUUUUUAAAGACAUAAUUAAAGAGGGCCAAAUAUUUAUAAUUUUAUUUGGCACGGCGUACCUCGAUUCUAAAGAACUUGUACAUAAACGGAGCAAUCACGGAUAUUCUUGAUUUCCUGAAAUUAUUGCGAAGUCCAGAAUAAGGAUUCUAUAAGUGAACAUAAUAGCAUUCGACUACUUUACUUAAAUGUGACAUCAACUUUACUGAAUAACUUUUAAUUGAAACUUGAAAGCUUGCACAAAAGAAAAGAUGUGACACCAAUGCCACUAUAUUUUCAAAUUGACGAAAAGUUGACCACAAAACACAGUGACCGAAGGAACCAGCGUUACAACCAAAAAUCAUAUACGAAUUAGUGAUAUUCCAUUUAUAGAUAUUUUCUACUUAGAUCUCACAUGCUGAACGCAAGAACAGAACAUGAUUCCAAUAAGCAUACCAUUUUAUGCACACCUCAUUUCUUCAAAUACAAAAUCAUUAACAUCCAAUAUAGGUGGAAGUUGCUCAAUAUUAGUGGAACAAAUACAACCCAGACCGUAACCCCCAUCUAAAUAUCAAUUUAUUAGCUUAAACAGCUUGGUGGUUAAUUUAAACAAGCAUUUAUGUCAUAACAAUGAUUGAAGGUGUGAACUAACCAAAUUUAAAGAAUAAUCAAACAGAUCUAGAAUAUCCCACAUAACAAACAAAUUAGUGAAUAGACUACAUAAUAUCGUGAAAUUUAAUUAUAAAUUAUAACAAUUACAUUAUCUAAGACUGAGACACAUACCUUAAUAGCAAGAAACAGAAUUAGCAAAACCAAACAAAGACUAAGAACAUCCAUAAACUAAAGCUCGGCUCAUAAUCGGAAUCGGAGAUGCGAACAAGAUCUCGACGGCGGUGGAAACUCAACAAUGAACGGGCUGAAAACAAGCCAUUUGUGACUACUUUUACGGGUUAUUGAGGUCGAUUUUGAGCAAAUCUCAUGGUUGUUGCUAGGUGCCGGAUUUCGAAAGAAGAAGAAACAGUGGCGGAAAAAGGUGUGGAGAAGAGGGACUGUUUCGUUGGUAUGAGGGUGGUUGUCGACGAAUAGCAGCUGGACACCGGAGGCGACGUGGAGGGGCUGUUGGCUUGAUUAUGGCUGUGUAUCUCUUCUCCAAAAUGAAGAAGAAAGCUACAGUAGGUAGCUGCGUAUUUUUUCCCUCUCCCUUUCCAGAUUGUUUUAGCAUUAUAUUAUAGCUAGAGUCUAGGUCUAGGGUUCAUUGGAGUUUUUAGUUUGGCUUGUGUGGGAAUUGGGUAAGGAAAUUGUUGUUUGAGUUGGUUUUGGCUUUAAAAAAAAAAAGGGCCAAUUUUUUAAUUUAAAAUCACAUUGCA
rnacentral:lncRNA from 1 species